rnacentral:rRNA from 1 species
AACGAACGCUGGCGGCAUGCCUAACACAUGCAAGUCGAACGAGACCUUCGGGUCUAGUGGCGCACGGGUGCGUAACGCGUGGGAAUCUGCCCUUGGGUUCGGAAUAACUUCGGGAAACUGAAGCUAAUACCGGAUGAUGUCGUAAGACCAAAGAUUUAUCGCCCAAGGAUGAGCCCGCGUAGGAUUAGCUAGUUGGUGGGGUAAAGGCCUACCAAGGCGACGAUCCUUAGCUGGUCUGAGAGGAUGAUCAGCCACACUGGGACUGAGACACGGCCCAGACUCCUACGGGAGGCAGCAGUGGGGAAUAUUGGACAAUGGGCGAAAGCCUGAUCCAGCAAUGCCGCGUGAGUGAUGAAGGCCUUAGGGUUGUAAAGCUCUUUUACCCGGGAUGAUAAUGACAGUACCGGGAGAAUAAGCCCCGGCUAACUCCGUGCCAGCCGCCGCAGUAACAC